UGUGUAGGUGGCUGAGCAAGUCGUUGAUGAAAUCCCGAGGCUCACCCUCGGAACUGUCUUCGAAACUGCUCAGCUUGAGGAUAGUUGAGGAGAACGGAAUUCCCGGUGGAGCGGUGAAAUGCGUAGAUAUCGGGAGGAACACCAGAGGCGAAGGCGGUUCUCUGGGCUAUUCCUGACACUGAAACACGAAAGCUAGGGGAGCAAACG
rnacentral:rRNA from 1 species